GACGAACGCUGGCGGCGUGCUUAACACAUGCAAGUCGAACGGAAAGGCCCUGCUUUUGUGGGGUGCUCGAGUGGCGAACGGGUGAGUAACACGUGAGUAACCUGCCCUUGACUUUGGGAUAACUUCAGGAAACUGGGGCUAAUACCGGAUAGGAGCUCCUGCUGCAUGGUGGGGGUUGGAAAGUUUCGGCGGUUGGGGAUGGACUCGCGGCUUAUCAGCUUGUUGGUGGGGUAGUGGCUUACCAAGGCUUUGACGGGUAGCCGGCCUGAGAGGGUGACCGGCCACAUUGGGACUGAGAUACGGCCCAGACUCCUACGGGAGGCAGCAGUGGGGAAUAUUGCACAAUGGGCGGAAGCCUGAUGCAGCAACGCCGCGUGCGGGAUGACGGCCUUCGGGUUGUAAACCGCUUUCGCCUGUGACGAAGCGUGAGUGACGGUAAUGGGUAAAGAAGCACCGGCUAACUACGUGCCAGCAGCCGCGGUGAUACGUAGGGUGCGAGCGUUGUCCGGAUUUAUUGGGCGUAAAGGGCUCGCAGGUGGUUGAUCGCGUCGGAAGUGUAAUCUUGGGGCUUAACCCUGAGCGUGCUUUCGAUACGGGUUGACUUGAGGAAGGUAGGGGAGAAUGGAAUUCCUGGUGGAGCGGUGGAAUGCGCAGAUAUCAGGAGGAACACCAGUGGCGAAGGCGGUUCUCUGGGCCUUUCCUGACGCUGAGGAGCGAAAGCGUGGGGAGCGAACAGGCUUAGAUACCCUGGUAGUCCACGCUGUAAACGGUGGGUACUAGGUGUGGGGUCCAUUCCACGGGUUCCGUGCCGUAGCUAACGCUUUAAGUACCCCGCCUGGGGAGUACGGCCGCAAGGCUAAAACUCAAAGGAAUUGACGGGGCCCCGCACAAGCGGCGGAGCAUGCGGAUUAAUUCGAUGCAACGCGUAGAACCUUACCUGGGUUUGACAUGGAUCGGGAGCGCUCAGAGAUGGGUGUGCCUCUUUUGGGGUCGGUUCACAGGUGGUGCAUGGCUGUCGUCAGCCCGUGUCGUGAGAUGUUGGGUUAAGUCCCGCAACGAGCGCAACCCUUGUUCACUGUUGCCAGCACGUUAUGGUGGGGACUCAGUGGAGACCGCCGGGGUCAACUCGGAGGAAGGUGGGGAUGACGUCAAGUCAUCAUGCCCCUUAUGUCCAGGGCUUCACGCAUGCUACAAUGGCUGGUACAGAGAGUGGCGAGCCUGUGAGGGUGAGCGAAUCUCGGAAAGCCGGUCUCAGUUCGGAUUGGGGUCUGCAACUCGACCUCAUGAAGUCGGAGUCGCUAGUAAUCGCAGAUCAGCAACGCUGCGGUGAAUACGUUCCCGGGGCU
rnacentral:rRNA from 1 species